rnacentral:rRNA from 1 species
GACGAACGCUGGCGGCGUGCUUAACACAUGCAAGUCGAACGGUGAAGGGACCGGUUUUUGCUGGUUCUGGAUGAGUGGCGCACGGGUGAGUAACACGUGAGUAACCUGCCCCCUUCUUCUGGAUAACCGCAUGAAAGUGUGGCUAAUACGGGAUAUUCUGCGCCUGCUGCAUGGUGGGUGUGGGAAAGAUAUUGUUUCGGUGGGGGAUGGGCUCGCGGCCUAUCAGCUUGUUGGUGGGGUGAUGGCCUACCAAGGCGGUGACGGGUAGCCGGCCUGAGAGGGUGGACGGUCACACUGGGACUGAGACACGGCCCAGACUCCUACGGGAGGCAGCAGUGGGGAAUAUUGCACAAUGGGCGCAAGCCUGAUGCAGCGACGCCGCGUGAGGGAUGGAGGACUUCGGGUUGUAAACCUCUUUCGCCAGUGAAGCAGGCCUGUCCCUUUUGUGGGUGGGUUGACGGUAGCUGGAUAAGAAGCGCCGGCUAACUACGUG